rnacentral:rRNA from 1 species
UACGUAGGUGGCAAGCGUUAUCCGGAAUUAUUGGGCGUAAAGAGGGAGCAGGCGGCAGCAAGGGUCUGUGGUGAAAGCCUGAAGCUUAACUUCAGUAAGCCAUAGAAACCAGGCAGCUAGAGUGCAGGAGAGGAUCGUGGAAUUCCAUGUGUAGCGGUGAAAUGCGUAGAUAUAUGGAGGAACACCAGUGGCGAAGGCGACGAUCUGGCCUGCAACUGACGCUCAGUCCCGAAAGCGUGGGGAGCAAAUAGGAUUAGAUACCCUAGUAGUCCACGCCGUAAACGAUGAGUACUAAGUGUUGGAUGUCAAAGUUCAGUGCUGCAGUUAACGCAAUAAGUACUCCGCCUGAGUAGUACGUUCGCAAGAAUGAAACUCAAAGGAAUUGACGGGGGCCCGCACAAGCGGUGGAGCAUGUGGUUUAAUUCGAAGCAACGCGAAGAACCUUACCAGGUCUUGACAUACUCAUAAAGGCUCCAGAGAUGGAGAGAUAGCUAUAUGAGAUACAGGUGGUGCAUGGUU